rnacentral:lncRNA from 1 species
AUGACUGCUCCUAAGCCGUGUCACAACUUAUCUGGAGCCCUUCCUAUGCCUACCCCAACCGUUAUGCUGUCAUCAGAGGCACCUGGAGGUUUCUGGGGUACUUGGCAGAGUGAUCCCGCAGUGACCGGUCACAGGAAAGACAUCAAGACUCAACAAGAAUUAUGGAUGGAACAAGUUAAGAUCUGUGUGUGGAGGCAGCCAGAAGCCCGGGCAUUAUGCACACGAGGGAAGAUCACCCGUACAGCACAGAGCUGCAGUUUGGCAGGGGAGGAAAGCAGUAACAAAGCAGACUGUACCAGGUCUAGGCAAGAGUAA